rnacentral:rRNA from 1 species
CCUACGGGAGGCAGCAGUGGCGAAUAUUGCACAAUGGGGGAAACCCUGAUGCAGCGACGCCGCGUGAGCGAUGAAGUAUUUCGGUAUGUAAAGCUCUAUCAGCAGGGAAGAAGAUGACGGUACCUGACUAAGAAGCCCCGGCUAACUACGUGCCAGCAGCCGCGGUAAUACGUAGGGGGCAAGCGUUAUCCGGAUGUACUGGGUGUAAAGGGAGCGUAGACGGCGAUGCAAGCCAGAUGUGAAAGCCCGGGGCUCAACAGCGGGACUGCAUUUGGAACUGUGUGGCUGGAGUGUCGGAGAGGCAGGCGGAAUUGCUGGUGUAGCGGUGAAAUGCGUAGAUAUUAGGAGGAACACCAGUGGCGAAGGCGGCCUGCUGGACGAUGACUGACGUUGAGGCUCGAAAGCGUGGGGAGCAAACAGGAUUAGAUACCCCUGUAGUC